rnacentral:rRNA from 1 species
GACGAACGCUGGCGGCGUGCUUAACACAUGCAAGUCGAGCGGAAAGGCCCUGCUUUUGUGGGGUGCUCGAGUGGCGAACGGGUGAGUAACACGUGAGUAACCUCCCCUUGACUUUGGGAUAACUUCAGGAAACUGGGGCUAAUACCGGAUAGGAGCUCCUGCUGCAUGGUGGGGGUUGGAAAGUUUCGGCGGUUGGGGAUGGACUCGCGGCUUAUCAGCUUGUUGGUGGGGUAGUGGCUUACCAAGGCUUUGACGGGUAGCCGGCCUGAGAGGGUGACCGGCCACAUUGGGACUGAGAUACGGCCCAGACUCCUACGGGAGGCAGCAGUGGGGAAUAUUGCACAAUGGGCGGAAGCCUGAUGCAGCAACGCCGCGUGCGGGAUGACGGCCUUCGGGUUGUAAACCGCUUUCGCCUGUGACGAAGCGUGAGUGACGGUAAUGGGUAAAGAAGCACCGGCUAACUACGUG